CUUUCCUUCGGGACAGCAGAGACAGGUGGUGCAUGGUUGUCGUCAGCUCGUGUCGUGAGAUGUUGGGUUAAGUCCCGCAACGAGCGCAACCCUUAUCCUCAGUAGCCAGCAUUACGGAUGGGAACUCUGGGGAGACUGCCGGAGACAAUCCGGAGGAAGGUGGGGAUGACGUCAAAUCAUCAUGCCCCUUAUGACUUGGGCUACACACGUGCUACAAUGGUGGUAACAAAGUGAAGCGACCCCGUGAGGGUGAGCCAACCACAGAAAAGCCAUCUCAGUUCGGAUUGUAGUCUGCAACUCGACUACAUGAAGUUGGAAUCGCUAGUAAUCGCGAAUCAGCAUGUCGCGGUGAAUACGUUCUCGGGCCUUGUACACACCGCCCGUCACACCAUGAGAGUUGAUAACACCCGAAGCCGGUGGCCUAACCGAAAGGAAGGAGCUGUCUAAGGUGGGAUUGAUGAUUGGGGUGAAGUCGUAACAAGGUAUCCCUACGGGAACGUGCGGCU
rnacentral:rRNA from 1 species